CACUGGUGGAAAUUUCCUGUGUGUAAGCUCAUCUGGACAUCAGAGUGAAGAAGUCUCCAUCAGUGUCUCAGGCAAAGAUGUGAUCCUGGAGAUUCCUGCACUUCCUGUCAUGACAGGAAGUGAUGUCACUUUGUGCUGUACACCCAAAGAGGGAGAAAGACGAAAGUCUCACUUCUUCAGAGAUAAUGUUACACUUGGAUCUGGACCUGAAGGAAAGUGGAUUCUCUCUAACGUCCAGCGGUCUGAUGAAGGUCUCUACUGGUGUUAUACUGAUAUUCAUCCACCUUCUCCUCAGAGCAGACUGAGGGUCAGAGUAGACUCCCCCUCCCCUCGUUCUUCUGCUCCCCCCAUCACCCCUCUUCCUCCCCCUCCCUCUAUGUCAGUGCUCAGACUCGUCUUGCACCUGGUGGUCUUCUGUCCAUACGUGGCCUGCACUGCUCUGCUGCUGUCC